rnacentral:rRNA from 1 species
AUGGCGGCGGCGCCGCACGUUGUGGUCGUCGCCUUCCCCUUCGCCUCCCACGCGGUGAAGCUGUUCCGCAUAGCACGCGCCCUCGCGGCGGCGGCGCCGGCCGCCACCUUCUCCUUCCUCUGCACCGCCGCGCAGCUACAGGAGCAGCAGAAGAAGAGUACGCUCCUGGGGAACCUGCGCUUCGUGGAGGUCCCGGACGGUUUAUCUCCGAGCUCGGAAUCGGAUGGCGCCGCCGCGGUGCCGCCGCCGCACCCCAAGAUGCGUCUCAAGCUCUUUAUGGAGGCUGCCGCUGCUGGCGGGUUAAGGGAGGGGCUGGAGACGGCUCGGGCCUCCGCGGGCGGCGCCAGGGUGACCUGCGUCGUCGGCGACUCGUUCAUGUGGAUGGCCGCCAAGGCGGCCGCCGAGGUGGAGGCACCAUGGGUUGCCGUCUGGACCGGCGGCCCCAGCGCGCUCCUGGCGCACCUCCGCGCUGACGCGCUGCGCGACGACAUCGGCGAUAAAGCGGCGAGCCGAGCAGACGAGCUGCUGACCUCGCACCCGGGCCUGGGAAGCUACCGCGUCCGGGACCUCCCCAACGGCAUCGUCUCCGGCGACAUGAACUCGCCGAUCGUCUCCUUGUUCCGCCGCAUAGCGGAGCACCUUCCCCGUGCGGCCACCGCCGUCGCCUUCAACACCUUCCCGGGUCUCCUCCCGGACGACCUCACCGCCGCUCUCGCCGCGGAGCUCCCAGAGUGCCUCCCCGUCGGCCCCUUCCACCUUCUCCCAUUCCCCGGCAACGACGACACCGUCGAGACCAGCGCCGACCCCCACGGAUGCCUCGACUGGCUCGACCGCCACCCCGCCCGUGCCGUCGCGUACGCCAGCUUCGGCACGGUGGUCACUGCCGUGGCAGGAAAUCCGGAGGAACUACGCGAGCUCGCAGCCGGGCUGGAGUCCUCCGGCGCGCCGUUCCUCUGGUCGCUGCCGAAGGAGUCCUGGCCGCAGCUCCCGCCGGGGUUCUUGGACCUCGAGCGCGGCAAGGUGGUGCCGUGGGCGCCACAGGCGGCCGUGCUGCGCCACGCGUCGGUUGGGGCCUUCGUCACGCACGCCGGGUGGGCCUCGGUACUGGAGGGGGUGUCCGCCGGCGUGCCCAUGGCAUGCCGCCCCUUCUUCACCGACCAGAAGAUGAACGCGCAGCUGGUGGCGCGUGUCUGGGGUUUCGGCACGGUCUUGGAGGAGCCCAUGACGCGCGAGGCCGUUGCGGAGGCGGUGCCGUCGCUGCUCGCCGGUGAUCAGGGCAUCCGGAUGUGGGAAAAGAUGCAACAGAUGAGUGGCAUGGCGGCCAACGCGUUCGCGCCCGAUGGCGGUAGCAGAAAAAACUUAGAUAAGCUUGUCAAGAUAGUCUGUGGAGAACUGUGA